UACAGAGGUCUCAAGCGUUGUUCGGAUUCAUUGGGCGUAAAGGGUGCGUAGGUGGCGCCGUAAGUCAGGUGUGAAAUCUCGGGGCUCAACCCCGAAACUGCACUUGAUACUGCGGUGCUUGAGUACUGGAGAGGAGAUUGGAAUUUAUGGUGUAGCAGUGAAAUGCGUAGAUAUCGUAAGGAAGACCAGUGGCGAAGGCGAAUCUCUGGACAGUUACUGACACUGAGGCACGAAGGCCAGGGGAGCAAACGGG
rnacentral:rRNA from 1 species